UACGGAGGGGGCUAGCGUUGUUCGGAAUUACUGGGCGUAAAGCGCACGUAGGCGGCUUUGCAAGUUAGAGGUGAAAGCCCGGGGCUCAACCCCGGAAUUGCCUUUAAAACUGCAUCGCUAGAAUUGUGGAGAGGUAAGUGGAAUUCCGAGUGUAGAGGUGAAAUUCGUAGAUAUUCGGAAGAACACCAGUGGCGAAGGCGACUUACUGGACACAUAUUGACGCUGAGGCACGAAAGCCAGGGGAGCAAACGGG
rnacentral:rRNA from 1 species